rnacentral:rRNA from 1 species
AGGGAUUGCCCCAGUAACGGCGAGUGAAGCGGCAACAGCUCAAAUUUGAAAUCUGGCCUCCGGGCCCGAGUUGUAAUUUGCAGAGGAUGCUUUUGGCGCGGUGCCUUCCGAGUUCCCUGGAACGGGACGCCUUAGAGGGUGAGAGCCCCGUACGGUUGGACACCAAGCCUCUGUAAAGCUCCUUCGACGAGUCGAGUAGUUUGGGAAUGCUGCUCUAAAUGGGAGGUAAAUUUCUUCUAAAGCUAAAUACCGGCCAGAGACCGAUAGCGCACAAGUAGAGUGAUCGAAAGAUGAAAAGCACUUUGAAAAGAGGGUUAAAUAGCACGUGAAAUUGUUGAAAGGGAAGCGUUUACGGCCAGACCUUUUCCUGGCGGAUCAUCCGGCGUUCUCGCCGGUGCACUUCGCCAGGUUUAGGCCAGCAUCGGCUUCGGUAGGGGGAUAAAAGCAGUGGGAAAGUAGCUCCCUCGGGAGUGUUAUAGCCCUAAGCAUAAUACCCUUACGGGGGCCGAGGACCGCGCUUUUUGCAAGGAUGCUGGCGUAAUGGUCGUCAACGACCCGUCUUGAAACACGGACCAAGGAGUCGAACAUUUGUGCGAGUGUUUGGGUGUUAAACCCUCACGCGUAAUGAAAGUGAACGGAGGUGAGAGCCCCCCUCGCGGGGGCGCAUCAUCGACCGAUCCUGAUGUUUUCGGAUGGAUUUGAGUAAGAGCAUAACUGUUCGGACCCGAAAGAUGGUGAACUAUGCGUGGAUAGGGUGAAGCCAGAGGAAACUCUGGUGGAGGCUCGCAGCGGUUCUGACGUGCAAAUCGAUCGUCAAAUCUGCGCA